GUCAUGACGUCAAAUUGUGAUUGUGAGUAUGGCCUAAAUUUAAACAUACAUUAAAAAAGGUUAAACUAUGCAGCCACACCAGGGGCUUGCAGACUCAAAUUUGGGUGACAAUCUGCUCCAGAGCUGGGACUGAACUGGCGUCCUUCUGAUGUAACUUUUUUUUGGCUUCUUCUGAUUAUUAUUGUGACAUCAUGACUCACUGUUACACCUUGCUCUAAUCUGUAACUGACUGCCCUAUAAUUUCGGCAGGCUGUUUGCGUCCCCAUGCACAAUGAUCAGCACCGCACUGGAGCAGCAGAUCACCGCCCUCAGCCCUGAAAUUGGAUGUGCGGCUUGUCAUUACAAACUGGUAUCAGUGACUCCGACGGCAAUCUUGGCCAACCACACCUCAGCGGACGGACUUGCAACAGAAACUCUCAGCUUCAAAUUCACGUCCACUGUUCUGACCGGGAGUUGCAGCAUCAGUGCCCAGUCUCAAUCUCUCGACUUCUCCAGUUUGCUCGACAAUGGCCUCAACUACUGCAACCUCUACAAUCUCCUCGCAUUGAGUGGUCUCGCCGCUCAGCCGGACUUCAUGGAGAUGACCAAUGAGUGGGCCUGCCUCGGAUAUGGACUGGCAACGUGCAAAGUCUGAAGAGGUGGAAGGAGAAUGAAUGUGCACUUUAAAUGUGGUUACUCUUCAAGCUACAUAUGAAAAAUAAAAGAUCAAAUGAG
rnacentral:lncRNA from 1 species